rnacentral:rRNA from 1 species
CCUACGGGGGGCUGCAGUGGGGAAUUUUGGACAAUGGGGGCAACCCUGAUCCAGCCAUGCCGCGUGCGGGAAGAAGGCCUUCGGGUUGUAAACCGCUUUUGUCAGGGAAGAAAUCUUUCGGGUCAAUACCCCGGGGGGAUGACGGUACCUGGAGAAUAAGCACCGGCUAACUACGUGCCAGCAGCCGCGGUAAUACAGAGGGUGCAAGCGUUAAUCGGAAUCACUGUGGGUGAAGCGUGCAUAGGUGUGCGAAAUCCACGGGCUUAACCUGGGAACUGAAUUCGAUACUACAUGGCUAGAGUAUGGUAGAGGGAAGUGGAAUUUCCGGUGUAGCGGUGAAAUGCGUAGAUAUCGGAAGGAACACCAAUGGCGAAGGCAGCUUCCUGGACUAAUACUGACACUGAGGCACGAAAGCGUGGGUAGCAAACAGGAUUAGAUACCCGAGUAGUC